GACGAACGCUGGCGGCGUGCCUAAUACAUGCAAGUUGAGCGCUGAAGGUUGGUACUUGUACCGACUGGAUGAGCAGCGCACGGGUGAGUAACGCGUGGGGAAUCUGCCUUUGAGCGGGGGACAACAUUUGGAAACGAAUGCUAAUACCGCAUAAAAACUUUAAACACAAGUUUUAAGUUUGAAAGAUGCAAUUGCAUCACUCAAAGAUGAUCCCGCGUUGUAUUAGCUAGUUGGUGAGGUAAAGGCUCACCAAGGCGAUGUUACAUAGCCGACCUGAGAGGGUGGUCAGCCACAUUGGGACUGAGACACGGCCCAAACUCCUACGGGAGGCAGCAGUAGGGAAUCGUCGGCCAUGGACGAAAGUCUGACCGAGCAACGCCGCGUGAGGGCAGAAGGUUUUCGGGUCGUAAAACUCUGUUGGUAGGGAAGAACGUUGGUGAGAGUGGAAAGCUCAUCAAGUGACGGUAACUACCCAGAAAGGGACGGCUAACUACGUG
rnacentral:rRNA from 1 species